GCGAGACAGGUGGGCCCACGGCCGAGUGCGACCGAUAAACUGUUCAAGGACGUCGCCGGGUGCAGCUCCCCGCUUCGUCCGCCCAUGAUCAGCCAGCAGCCGCUGCAACCCCAGGGAG
rnacentral:sRNA from 1 species